rnacentral:rRNA from 1 species
AGAGUUUGAUCCUGGCUCAGAUUGAACGCUGGCGGCAGGCCUAACACAUGCAAGUCGAGCGGUAGAGAGGUGCUUGCAUCUCUUGAGAGCGGCGGACGGGUGAGUAAUGCCUAGGAAUCUGCCUAGUGGUGGGGGAUAACGUUCGGAAACGGACGCUAAUACCGCAUACGUCCUACGGGAGAAAGCGGGGGAUCUUCGGACCUCGCGCCAUUAGAUGAGCCUAGGUCGGAUUAGCUAGUUGGUGAGGUAAUGGCUCACCAAGGCGACGAUCCGUAACUGGUCUGAGAGGAUGAUCAGUCACACUGGAACUGAGACACGGUCCAGACUCCUACGGGAGGCAGCAGUGGGGAAUAUUGGACAAUGGGCGAAAGCCUGAUCCAGCCAUGCCGCGUGUGUGAAGAAGGUCUUCGGAUUGUAAAGCACUUUAAGUUGGGAGGAAGGGUCGUGACCUAAUACGUUACGGCUUUGACGUUACCGACAGAAUAAGCACCGGCUAACUUCGUGCCAGCAGCCGCGGUAAUA